rnacentral:rRNA from 1 species
ACUCCUACGGGAGGCAGCAGUAGGGAAUAUUGGUCAAUGGGCGAAAGCCUGAACCAGCCAUGCCGCGUGUCAGAUGAAGGUCCUCUGGAUUGUAAAUGACUUUUCUACGGGAAGAAUGAGCCGUCUGCGGACGGAAGUUGACGGUACCGUAGGAAUAAGCACCGGAUAACUACGUGCCAGCAGCCGCGGUAAUACGUAGGGGUGCAAGCGUUGUCCGGAUUUACUGGGUUUAAAGGGUACGUAGGCGGUUGUGCCAAGUCUGGGGUGAAAGUUUGCAGCUCAACUGUAAAAUUGCCUUGGAUACUGGUCGGCUAGAGUAGUGGAGCGGUGGCUGGGAUUUAUAGUGUAGCGGUGAAAUGCUUAGAUACUAUGAGGAACACCAAUUGCGAAGGCAGGUCACUGGUCACUAACUGACGCUGAGGUACGAAAGUGUGGGGAUCAAACAGGAUUAGAUA